AACGAACGCUGGCGGCAGGCUUAACACAUGCAAGUCGAACGCUGUAGCAAUACAGAGUGGCAGACGGGUGAGUAACGCGUGGGAACGUGCCCUUCGGUUCGGAAUAACUCAGGGAAACUUGAGCUAAUACCGGAUACGUGCGAGAGCAGAAAGAUUUAUCGCCGAAGGAUCGGCCCGCGUCCGAUUAGCUAGUUGGUGAGGUAAUGGCUCACCAAGGCGACGAUCGGUAGCUGGUCUGAGAGGAUGAUCAGCCACACUGGGACCGAGACACGGCCCAGACUCCUACGGGAGGCAGCAGUGGGGAAUAUUGGACAAUGGGCGCAAGCCUGAUCCAGCCAUGCCGCGUGAGUGAUGAAGGCCCUAGGGUUGUAAAGCUCUUUCGCCAGGGACGAUAAUGACGGUACCUGGAUAAGAAGCCCCGGCUAACUUCGUGCCAGCCGCCGCAGUAAUAC
rnacentral:rRNA from 1 species